rnacentral:rRNA from 1 species
GUGCCAGCCGCCGCGGUAAUACAGAGGGGGCAAGCGUUGUUCGGAAUUACUGGGCGUAAAGGGCGCGUAGGCGGCCUGCUAAGUCGAACGUGAAAUCCCUGGGCUCAACCCAGGAACUGCGUCCGAUACUGGUUGGCUUGAAUCCGGGAGAGGGAUGUGGAAUUCCAGGUGUAGCGGUGAAAUGCGUAGAUAUCUGGAGGAACACCGGUGGCGAAGGCGACAUCCUGGACCGGUAUUGACGCUGAGGCGCGAAAGCCAGGGGAGCAAACGGGAUUAGAAACCCUCGUAGUCC